rnacentral:rRNA from 1 species
AUGGACCUUCUAUCUCCAGGCAACGUGUUUGCUUGCGUUGUCGUGGACCUUGACACUGGGAUGAAAAUCUUCGAAUACAUGUUUGCCACGAGCUCUCCAGUGGCAAAGAUCGAACCAGCACGCACCGUUGUGGGGAAUGAGGUACUGGGGGCAAAAGUGGCAUCCUUCUCUUCGAGAGGGCCAUCACGUGAUUACCCCGACAUUAUCAAGCCUGACAUAGCCGCGCCUGGAGCCAACAUCUUGGCAGCAGUGAAAGAUUCCUACAGAUUUAAUUACGGCACAUCGAUGGCUGCCCCACACGUAUCGGGCAUCCUCGCACUGUUGAAAGCUCAGCACCCAGACUGGUCUCCUGCUGCGAUAAAAUCAGCCAUCAUCACCACAGCCCAUGUAACAGACGAGCGCGGCAUGCCCAUACUAGCGGAAGGGGUGCUGCGGAAGACGGCCGACCCAUUUGACUACGGAGGUGGCAACAUCAACCCCGGCGGCGCGACUGAUCCCGGCCUGGUCUACGACAUCAAUCCCCGCGACCACAACAGAUUCUUUGGGUACACCAUCGUCAGGAGGACGAAUGUGAGCUGUGAGGCGAUGGCGCUACCAGCAUACCAUCUAAACCUGCCGUCCAUCACGGUGCCUGACCUGAGGCGCCCGAUCACCAUGCAGAGGACAGUAACGAACGUUGGUGACGUCAACUCUGUCUACCACGCAGAAGUUCAGAGCCCUGCUGGAGUCAGGAUGGAGGUUAAGCCCCUAGUGCUCAUCUUCGACGCCACGAACAAAGUUCGUUCAUUUAAGGUGAAUUUGUCACCUAUGUGGAAGCUGCAAGGGGACUACACCUUUGGCAGCAUUACUUGGCGUAAGGACCAGAAGGUGGUGAGGAUUCCUGUUGCGGCCCGAAUGACGAUUCAGGAUUUCUAUGCAGAUGUUGCAUAA